GAUGAACGCUGGCGGCGUGCCUAAUACAUGCAAGUCGAGCGAAUGGAUUAAGAGCUUGCUCUUAUGAAGUUAGCGGCGGACGGGUGAGUAACACGUGGGUAACCUGCCCAUAAGACUGGGAUAACUCCGGGAAACCGGGGCUAAUACCGGAUAACAUUUUGAACCGCAUGGUUCGAAAUUGAAAGGCGGCUUCGGCUGUCACUUAUGGAUGGACCCGCGUCGCAUUAGCUAGUUGAUGAGGUAACGGCUCACCAAGGCAACGAUGCGUAGCCGACCUGAGAGGGUGAUCGGCCACACUGGGACUGGGACACGGCCCAGACUCCUACGGGAGGCAGCAGUAGGGAAUCUUCCGCAAUGGACGAAAGUCUGACGGAGCAACGCCGCGUGAGUGAUGAAGGCUUUCGGGUCGUAAAACUCUGUUGUUAGGGAAGAACAAGUGCUAGUUGAAUAAGCUGGCACCUUGACGGUACCUAACCAGUAAGCCACGGCUAACUACGUGCCAGCAGCCGCGGUAA
rnacentral:rRNA from 1 species